CGGUUGAUCCUGCCGGACCCCACUGCUAUCGGGAUAGGACUAAGACAUGCUAGUCAAGCGCUUUCUAGCUAAUGUGAGAGCGCGGCGUACAGCUCAGUAACACGUGGCCAACCUGCCCUUGGGACGGGAACACCCCCGGGAAACUGGGGUUAAUUCCCGAUAGGUGAAGAAGUCUGGAAUGAUUCUUCGCUCAAAAGACGUUUAUGUCAUGCUCAUAUUCGUCGCCCAGGGAUGGGGCCGCGACCGAUCAGGUAGUUGGUGAGGCAAUGGCUCACCAAGCCUUUUACCGGUGCGGGCCGUGAGAGCGGGAGCCCGGAGAUGGGCACUGAGACAAGGGCCCAGGCCCCACGGGGCGCAGCAGUCGCGAAAAUUUUGCAAUACACGAAAGUGUGACAGAGCUAUCCCGAGUGCCAUCCGCUGAGGAAGGCUUUUACCCAGUAUAAAUAGCUGGGAGAAUAAGGAGAGGGCAAGUCUGGUGUCAGCCGCCGCGGUAAUACCAGCUCUCCGAGUAGUGUGGACGUUUAUUGGGCCUAAAGCAUCCGUAGCUUGCUAGAUAAGUCCUCUGUUAAAUCCACCGAUUCAAUCGUUGGAUUGCGGGGGAUACUGUUUGGCUAGGGGACGGGAGAGGUCGACGGUAUUUCCGGGGUAGGGGUGAAAUCCUAUAAUCCUGGGAGGACCACCAGUGGCGAAGGCUGUCGACUAGAACGCGCCCGACGGUGAGGGAUGNNNCUGGGGGAGCGAACCGGAUUAGAUACCCGGGUAGUCCCAGCUGUAAACGANNNNNNNNGNNNGU
rnacentral:rRNA from 1 species